GGAAUAUUGGACAAUGGGCGCAAGCCUGAUCCAGCCAUGCCGCGUGCAGGAUGACGGUCCUAUGGAUUGUAAACUGCUUUUGUACGAGAAGAAACACUCCUAUGUAUAGGAGCUUGACGGUAUCGUAAGAAUAAGGAUCGGCUAACUCCGUGCCAGCAGCCGCGGUAAUACGGAGGAUCCAAGCGUUAUCCGGAAUCAUUGGGUUUAAAGGGUCCGUAGGCGGUUUAAUAAGUCAGUGGUGAAAGCCCAUCGCUCAACGGUGGAACGGCCAUUGAUACUGUUAGACUUGAAUUAUUAGGAAGUAACUAGAAUAUGUAGUGUAGCGGUGAAAUGCUUAGAGAUUACAUGGAAUACCAAUUGCGAAGGCAGGUUACUACUAAUUGAUUGACGCUGAUGGACGAAAGCGUGGGUAGCGAACAGGAUUAGAUACCCUGG
rnacentral:rRNA from 1 species